rnacentral:rRNA from 1 species
UACGUAGGAGACGAGCGUUGUCCGGCAUUACUGGGCGUAAAGCGCGUGUCGGCGGAUGGGCAAGUCUGCUGUGAAAGCUCCUGGCUUAACCGGGAGUGGUCGGUGGAAACUGCCAAUCUGGAGGACGGUAGAGGUAGGUAGAAUUCCCGGUGUAGUGGUGAAAUGCGUAGAGAUCGGGAGGAAUACCUGUGGCGAAGGCGGCCUACUGGGCCGGACCUGACGCUGAGACGCGAAGGCGUGGGGAGCGAACGGG